rnacentral:misc_RNA from 1 species
UCCGGCUUAUCACCGGCAGUUUCCCUAUAGUUCCCGGCAUUACCCGCUGGCAAAUAAGGAUGAGGGUUGCGCUCGUUGCGGGACUUAACCCAACAUCUCACGACACGAGCUGACGACAGCCAUGCAACACCUGUGUGUGGUCCAGCCGAGCUGAAAGGAGGCAUCUCUGCCACCUGCGACCACCAUGUCAAGGGUUGGUAAGGUUUUUCGCGUGACAUCGAAUUAAACCGCAUGCUCCACCGCUUGUGCGAGCCCCCGUCAAUUCCUUUGAGUUUUAACCUUGCGGCCGUACUCCCCAGGCGGAGUGCUUAAUGCGUUAGCUGCGAAACCGAAAGAAAUUCUCCCGAUAUCUAGCACUCAUCGUUUACGGCGUGGACUAC